AUGAAGAACGUAGCGAAAUGCGAUAAGUAGUGUGAAUUGCAGAAUUCAGUGAAUCAUCGAAUCUUUGAACGCACAUUGCGCCCUGUGGUAUUCCGCAGGGCAUGCCUGUUCGAGCGUCAUUGACACCCUCAAGCUCUGCUUGGUCUUGGGCGUUUGUGCCUGCCGUUGCGCAGGGACUCGCCUCAAACUCAUUGGCAGCCUGCCUUUGCCGGUCUUUGCACAGCACAGUCGUGCCAAAGCCGCGGUGAGCAGGCGCUCCACAAGCCCUUUUCAGCUUGACCUCGGAUCAGGUAGGAAUACCCGCUGAACUUAAGCAUAUCAAUAAGCGGAGGA
rnacentral:misc_RNA from 1 species